CCUACGGGGGGCAGCAGUGAGGAAUAUUGGUCAAUGGGCGUAAGCCUGAACCAGCCAAGUCGCGUGAGGGAUGAAGGUUCUAUGGAUCGUAAACCUCUUUUAUAAGGGAAUAAAGUGCGGGACGUGUCCCGUUUUGUAUGUACCUUAUGAAUAAGGAUCGGCUAACUCCGUGCCAGCAGCCGCGGUAAUACGGAGGAUCCGAGCGUUAUCCGGAUUUAUUGGGUUUAAGGGGUGCGUAGGCGGCCUUUUAAGUCAGCGGUAAAAGUCAGUGGCUCAACCGUAGAAGUGCCGUUGAAACUGGGAGGCUGGAGUGUGAUUGAGGUAGGCGGAAGGCGUGGUGUAGCGGUGAAAUGCAUAGAUAUCACGCAGAACCCCGAUUGCGAAGGCAGCAUGCGAAGCCAUGACUGACGCUGAUGCACGAAAGCGUGGGUAUCAAACAGGAUUAGAUACCCUUGUAGUC
rnacentral:rRNA from 1 species